UCAGCAAUUAUGCAGGACUAGUGGGAAACAGUUACACCACCUGCCAGCUAACAAAAUGGAUUGUGCACAUUAGAGCUGCUCAGAUCUUAUUCUUGCCAGGCUCAUUGAAUCCCAGCCAAUCUGCCAGGACGCUGAUCAGUUAUGCUGGUCUCUGAAGAAGGUGCCCAAACCUGAAGAGCUGAAAUCAGGUGGUUGUAGUGCACGGGAAGAAAAAGCAGAGCGGGGCCUUAAAGAGACAGCAGCAUAGUGGGGCUUUUCACCUCGACAGCAGCCAUCUUUACCACACCAAAGGCACCAGCUGGGGGAGGCGUGACUGCAUUUGACCGCUCCUGCCUCACACUCACGGAUUUUCCCAAAAUGCUCUUUUUCCUCCUCCUGAAAUAUUAAUUAUGAACAGUUAAAAUAGCUUUUAGAGCAGACAGUUAACUUUUGUUGU